UCGUCAAGGUAUUAUACUAGCGUUAUGCUCACUUAAAAGGCAAUAUUUUUUCUUUUAAAUAGGACGAGGCCUUUUUUCUUGACAUUCCAGAUGCCGCGCUACAAGCUUUAAACUUUGAACAAGAUGGAAGUCAAAACCACCCAAUAGUUUUCCUGAAAUUACAGAAGAAGACUCAUCAAGCGUUAUUCCUCAAGAAGAAAUGUUGAAGGUGAGCGCGCUUAAAGAGGCCAAGAAAUUUCCCUUUGAGGCAGCUGCAGUUGGAAGCAAGGGUAUUAAGCACAGCGAUUUUGAACAGCCCUGCGCGUCCAAAUCUCUUAUUGCACAAAACCAGCCGGCACUAAAAAAGGCCAAAAAGUCUACCUCUAAAACAGCAUUCGUUUUCAGGGAGGGGGGGAAAGGGGCUCAGACCCCCCCCAAGCUUUUGAACCACCCAAAGCUACCUCUACAACUUCCAGGAACCAUGGUAAGCGAGGCAGAGGAGUUAAAGCCCCUAGUUUUCAACAGACUUUUGCCUCCCCGACCCAAAACAAUUAGCUUUAAAAACAAACAACUCUGUGGAAGCAACCAUGUUUACGCGUGGUUUGAGCAGGGUGAAGAAGUUAAU